UGAUUUUGCCGCAGCUUGGUAUUUUAGUUAGGGUGCCAUCAACGUUUGUACAGAAAGUAUCAUACAGCUUUGGGAUGCUUUAAUAUCAGAGCCAGAGGUGGAAUUCGUGGUCAAAGAUUGUGCACAGUUUCUUGCUACAUUUUACUAGAUGCUGAAGGAGUUGCUGCAAGUUCCCUUCUGACAACCACGGGAAAGAGGCUGGUCUCUCACGCUGGCCCUUGCUUUGAUCAUAUCGCAGUCCCUCCGUCUUUCCCUCUCUUUGCUGCUUUGAUAAACGUUCCAUCAAACCUCAUUUUGUUUUAAUUUAUUUCUUUGAUCAUUAACGAAGGAAAGUAUUUCCCCAUGUGUUCAAGUUUUAUUUCCCUUUCUGCGAAUUCUUUUCUUAUCCUUUGCCCAUAUGCCUGCAAGAGUCUGGAUAUUCCUCUUGUAUGGGCUCUCCAUAUUACAAAUCCUAUUGCCAUAUAUAUUUUUUUUUUUUGCAAAUACUUCUCUAGUAUUUUGCAAAUAUUUGUCCUACUUUUUUGCAAAUGUUUCUCUAAAUUUCUUUGUGUUAUCUUCCCCAGAGCUUUAGAUUUAUUCAUGGGCUCCUCUUUCCCUUUCUUUGCUGGUUUUAUUUACAAACUCUCAUCACUGCUCCCCCUCCCCCAUUCUGUACUAAUAGCUUCGGCUAGCCCUCAUCCCUUAUCAUUUUCCUUCAAAUUUUAUUUCCUUUAAAAAAAAAGGUUUUUGCAGCAAAGCUUCAUUUUAAUUCUGUUUAUAUGUUUAUCCAACGUAAUCACUUCCUUAUAUUAGAAGGAUGUGCUAUUGCUGGGAUGAAUUCUUAAAUUUUCAGAUUUGAUCAUCAUUUACUCAGUUAUUGAUUACAUGCCUUCCUGUCUAUACUCCUGUUAAAAACUCUUUGCUUAACUUUUUCAUCUUAAUUGAAAUACUUCUGUUUAAAUUAGCAUCAUUGCCACCAUAAUAUUUCUAAUACAUGCUUUCCAAAAUAUUAAACCCCACCCCUUUAACAUUUUUAACAUUAACACAAGUGUAAGCACAUAAAUCUUUCAUCUGCUAGCACAUUCUCCAAUAACAGGAGUGGCCUGUGCCUGCACUGUACAAUAUGGUAGCCACUAGCCACAUGUAGUGAUGGAGCCCUUGAAAUGUGGCCAGUACAAAUGAGGAAGUAGUUUUAAUUGUAUUUAAUUUUAAUUAUGUUUAAUAACUAUAUAUUGCUAGUGGCUAUGUUACUAGACAGUGUCGGCUCAGACCUUUUCAGAGUUAUUUCCUGCUUUUCAGAUUCAUUUUUGGGUGAACCUAACUGAGCUCAUUAAAGACACAGAAAUCACACUCAUCAUACUUUGCUGCAAAUGCAAAAUCAAUACUACCACAUUUUUUCCAUCUACCCACCUAACUUCAAAAACCUAAUAUUUUUGAAUCAUUAGCUUUUAUUUAACAAUUGUCAUUUAUUACCUUCCUCGGGCUUCCAAUUAGGCUAUUUUCAGGUUUAAGAAUGGUGAGAUGUCAAAAGCUCCUAAUCCGUCCCUCUGCCUCCAGUACUAUUUUUAUCUACACCAUUUUAGUUCCUAUGUUUGUUAUUUUAUUCUCAAAUUAUUCCAGGGGAAGGAGGACCUGAAUUAACCCCAGCAACCUAUAAUAAGAGUCUUGAAAGCUAUAAAAUAUAAUGAGACAUCAGCACAUAACACAUGCUGAUAUAAAUGCCCCUGGGAUUUCUUAAAUGCUAAUUUUAAGUUUCUUUUCGUUGUUGUUAUUGUUAUGUCUGUUAGCAUGGGGGGGGGGAAGAGAGACGGAAUUUUGUAAAGCAUCUAAAAAUUCCUCAGUGCUCACUAUAUCGUACUAGGGAAUAGAAUUUUCCCUAAACCGUGGUAGGUGUGAGGACUGUCCAUCUGGCCCACACGCACGGAUGGAGGAGGGCAGGGGGAUGCAGGAUAGCAGCCCCUGGUGUCUUGCAUGCCUUUCACUAUGGAUACAGAGGUCACUUGCAAUUUUUUUUGCAUCUCUGUAAAAGCAGUGGUGAAGCUGCCUGUCCCACCACCUCCUAUUUAUAAACCCCACUAUCCCCAUGUCCCUGGUAGCUCCAUCUGUUUACCUAGUCAUAGCCACUAUGGGCGCUUGAUGUUUUGCUUCCUCUUGCCACAUGACACGCAAAGCUGACUUCCAAGACCGUUGGCCUAAACUGAAAUUUCAAACAAAACCUGGUACAAAUAUUGUUGUUUCUUGCUCCUUUCCUGAGGUUGAGAGGAGGGAAGAAAAAAAAGAAGAAGAUGAUGAACAGAAAAGGAAGGAGAAGAAAGAGGAAGAGACAAGAAAGAAAUUUAACUACUAAAGGGAGGAAUGAAGGAAACUGUAUGAAGGGAAUUUUUGAGGAUGAGAAAAGCCUGGGUAUGAUUAAAAUAAAAGAAAGAAGAAAAAGGAACUGGAGAGUCCAAAGACUACAUAGUCUUGCUUUUGCACACGACUCUGUGUGGGACUGCAGCUCAGCGGGCAUGGUGGGAGAAGGCAGCAGGCGCAUCCCCACACUUCCUACGGGACUCAACGGUCUAGAGAGGAAAAUCCAGAUGUGUUAGACGGUCCUAUGGAGAAGCCCCUCGACUGUCACAUCCUCUCUUCUCAAUGAAGAAAAAUCAUGAUUUCAGUGGCACAGAGAAAUGUGAAUACUUAUGUUGAAGGCAUUUGACAAUCUCAUUUUUUCACUCAAAUCAACAUGCCUAAGGGCACCCUAAAGUGUACCCAAGCCAGCAACACCAGCCUUCUCUCUGCAUCCCCUGGGUUACACAGUCACCACUGGAUUUAUGCCAGACUACACCAAAAUGAACAUCUGAGAAUUAUUCCCCAAGGACCUCAGCUCUUCUCCCAUUGCAGAGGGUGGGUAUGAGGCCUGAGGCCCAAGGCCCAGACAUAGUCUGCUGACUAUCCUUUAGCCUUUAAUAUUUCUGCAGAAAUGCAUGAUACUCUGUCUCCUAAAUCGUCCCUCAAGAAAGAGGCAGAGCUUAUGUUUGGACUUUACGACAUCUCUCAUUUUACCACGGUGCUCACUCGAACCCUAAAUUUUGAACAAUGGAGGCAAAGAAAUGUAACUUAGAUUAGGCAGCUUUUCCUGGGAUCACCAGUGCUGCAUGAACUGGAAAAAAGAAUUCUAGACAUCACCUUACAAGGCAAGAUCAUGUGUGAUUUUGGUGUGGAGCUCGCAGGUAGCAGAUGGAUUUCUGUGGUUGGGAGGAAGUGUCCAGGGGCAACAGCAUACACAGAUCUACACAGCUCAGCUGUCCAUGAACAUCAUGUGCUCUGGAAAACCGCUAGAAGACUGGAAACGUGGUUCUAGUGGUAGAAAAGACACUGCUAUAGAAGACCCAUAUGGAAAGUAUGGGUAAAAUAGAUCCAAGGAGUGUGAGAAUGGAGAAAGCAAUUUUAAAAGCUGAAAUUACUAUUUUGUACAAUGUUUACUUUAAAAUAUUUGCCUAGGCACCUGGGUGGCUCAGUUGGUGAAGCGUCUGCCAUCAGC